rnacentral:rRNA from 1 species
GAUGAACGCUGGCGGCGUGCCUAAUACAUGCAAGUCGAGCGAACAGACGAGGAGCUUGCUCCUCUGACGUUAGCGGCGGACGGGUGAGUAACACGUGGAUAACCUACCUAUAAGACUGGGAUAACUUCGGGAAACCGGAGCUAAUACCGGAUAAUAUAUUGAACCGCAUGGUUCAAUAGUGAAAGACGGUUUUGCUGUCACUUAUAGAUGGAUCCGCGCCGCAUUAGCUAGUUGGUAAGGUAACGGCUUACCAAGGCAACGAUGCGUAGCCGACCUGAGAGGGUGAUCGGCAACACUGGAACUGAGACACGGUCCAGACUCCUACGGGAGGCAGCAGUAGGGAAGCUGCAGCAAUGGGCGAAAGCCUGACGGAGCAACGCCGCGUGAGUGAUGAAGGUCUUCGGAUCGUAAAACUCUGUUAUUAGGGAAGAACAAAUGUGUAAGUAACUAUGCACGUCUUGACGGUACCUAAUCAGAAAGCCACGGCUAACUACGUG